AAAACCUGCAAAUAGGAGACGUUGUCCUUCUCAAAGACAGUCAAGCUACCCGCAACAACUGGCCCAUGGCUAACAUCACAGAGGCCUUCCCUGGAGAAGACGGAGGGGUGAGGAAGGUGGAAUUGAGGACCACAAAUCAGGGACAUUCAAAAACUUUCUUCAGACCAGUCUCAGAAGUUGUCUUACUUCUUACUAAAGACUGAUGUUCAGAGACUCAUGUAGUCCAUCUGGGUCAAUUAAUGACCUCACAGAGGUCAGACGGGGAGUGUGUUGCCUUUCACGCAUAAAUCUGAAUGGACUUUUGCUUUGAAAGAGCUCUUAUUUUGAAGGGCAGCUUUCACCCUAAUGUUCCCGGGUCAUAGGUUUGUUUUGGUUUAGUAGUCUGAGGAGGCUAACCGAAUUUGCAUAGCUACAUUUCUGUGUUCAACCGCAUGAUUGUAUCACUGUAAACGUCACAGAGGCAACGUCCAUGACAUAACACAUCUCAGGAAGUGGUAGUGCUCCACUUUGUUGGAGAAUCUCCAUAUUGAGGGUCAUUGCAGACGGUUUGCUCAUUUCACGGAGGACAGAGAGAUGGCAAGAGGAACUCUACCACCUAUCUUCGGUAUCCCGAGGAAGCGCAAAGUGUCUGAAAUGGAGGAGAAAUAAUAUUUAUCUUUUCUCUAUUUCUUUAUUUUUUAUUGGUUUGUCUGAAGAGAAGAGCAGAAAAUAAAAUUUAUAAUAAUGGA